UAGAACACAGUCUCAGCAUGAUAUAUGUAGAAGUAACCUUAAACUGUAGGCAGACAGAGACAAGUCGACAGAGCAGGAGCAUUGGACCUAAAAGAAACUCGACCUCUCGACAAACUGAAAACCGACUGACAUAAAAUUUAGUUUUAUUGGCAAAUCUUAGCGAUUAAAGAAAACCAGUUCAUAAUGGAACGGACUUCAGAUUCAUUUAGUUGCGAAGAAGGAGACCCGUUCUACAGGAAGUAUGAAGUGCUGACACUUCUGAGACAGGGACACUAUGGAACGAUGUACAAAUGUUUCAACAAGGACACCAAGGAGACUUGUGCAGUGAAGUUCCGUAAACGAUUCAGCGCACCCACCAAUGAGUUGGAAAUACUGAAAUACAUGCAGACGAAGAACCUGGAUGAGUGCAAUAUUGUCAGGUUCAUUGAGUCACACAGAAUAUGGCAGGGCACAUGUGCUAUUGUCUAUGAG